rnacentral:tRNA from 35 species
GUGGAUGUAGCUCAGUUGGUAGAGCCCCGGAUUGUGAUUCCGGUUGUCGUGGGUUCGAAUCCCAUCAUUCACCCCA